rnacentral:lncRNA from 1 species
CCAAAAGAAAAGAAAGCAGUGAAUCAGCUGAGUGACGUGGAGGAGGAGAGGUCCGAUCCGGAGAUGGACAGCGACGAGGUGGAGGGAGAGAAGGAGAACGUCUCUAACGUAGGGACCACACCUGCCGCUGACGCCACCACCCCCAAGAGAAGACGCAAAAGGAAGGAUGGAGGAGAGUCCUCCCCUAAAAAAGCAACGUAUGGAAAGAAAAAGAAGAGCAGCAACCUGAUAACAAGUGAUCAAGAAGAGGCUGCUUCAGUCACCUGCUGA